rnacentral:rRNA from 1 species
GAUGAACGCUGGCGGCGUGCUUAACACAUGCAAGUCGCACGGAAAGGCUCCUGCUUGCAGGGGUACUCGAGUGGCGAACGGGUGAGUAACACGUGGGUGAUCUGCCCUGCACUUCGGGAUAAGCCUGGGAAACUGGGUCUAAUACCGGAUAGGACGAUGGUUUGGAUGCCAUUGUGGAAAGUUUUUUCGGUGUGGGCUGAGCUCGCGGCCUAUCAGCUUGUUGGUGGGGUAAUGGCCUACCAAGGCGUCGACGGGUAGCCGGCCUGAGAGGGCGUACGGCCACAUUGGGACUGAGAUACGGCCCAGACUCCUACGGGAGGCAGCAGUGGGGAAUAUUGCACAAUGGGCGCAAGCCUGAUGCAGCGACGCCGCGUGGGGGAUGACGGCCUUCGGGUUGUAAACUCCUUUCGCUAGGGACGAAGCGCAAGUGACGGUACCUGGAGAAGAAGCACCGGCUAACUACGUG